UUCAGGUUCUGAUCUCAAGAAGGAGCAAUUAGAGCAACUGGUGAUACAGUUGAUAUUGGAUCGAGUGUUGAAAGAAGAAUAUCAGCAUACAGCUUAUGCUACAAAUGCUUAUGUGACACUUGGACCAUUGACAAAGCAAGUUUUGCAAGAAGGCAAUACAGACACAAAAGAAGAAGUAGGAGGUUGUGGCAAUGUGCUCAAAGCUUUUCUUGACCAUAUAAGUGAGAGAGAAAGGGAAAAUUUUCGUUCACGGAUACAUGACAAUGAAAAUUCCAUAACAUUGACCACUAUU